CUUCCACUUCAGAAGACACCUUGGCAGUUUUUUUCAAAACUAAACAUACUCUUAGAAUAUAAUUCAGCAAUUGUACUCUGUGAUAUUUACCCAAAGGAGUUAAAAAAUUUAUGUCACACCAAAAGCUACACAUGGAUGUAUGCAGCUUUAUUCAUAAUUGCCAAAACUUGGAAGCAACCGAGAUACCCUUAAGUAGGCAUCAUUCUACCCUCUGCUUCUAUAAGCUGUUUGGGAUUCCUCAUAUGGUCACCAGAUGGCCACGGGGAGUACUUCAAAGGUGACCACAGUGAUAGUCAGCAAUGAGUUUUUGGCCAGGGCCGAGUUUGAACCCACCACCUCCGGCAUAUGGGGCCAGCGCCCUACUCCUUGAGCCACAGGCACUGCCCUUGAUAUCUGAUAUUUGAGUACAAAUAUCCUGCCCAUUUUAAAAUUUUGAUUUCUUUUCUUGUG